ensembl:lncRNA
GUAAGCAUAAAAUUAUUUUUCCUUCAUUUUCUUUAACUGUUUUUUUAUCAAAAAAAAAAGAAAAAAAAAAAAGAAGAUAUAAUAACUUAUUUUAAUCCUUAAUUGAAAUCAGUGUGAAAUUAAAAACAGCCUGUCGUUAAAUAACAAUACUGUAAAGGUCUUCUAUAAAAUCACAGAUUUAAAAUAAGUUGAGUGCUUGGACAGUUUGAGCCUUCCCUUUAAUCAUGGGUCACUGGUUAGAAAAUAUAUUCUCGCUCUUGCCUCCCUCUAAGCAGGUGAACUGAGCUCGAGACUUUCCCACGAUCCCUCAGUAAAUCUCUCUUUGCUCUGCCCCUUUCUUCUGUCCCAGCCAUCUGUCUAUUUUUUAGAGUGUGUCUUGUAGAGCAAGCGUCAGCCACUGGGACAAGUCCAGCAUUCCAAAACAGAUUUCACCACAACAUAUCAUCAGAAAUACAAAUAUUUUGAUCCAAAACAUUAAAAUGCAUUACUAAAAACGUUGGAAUACCUAAUGAUCUCGCUUUCUUUCUGUCCGUCUCUCUUAUUAGAAAGAAACCCGUGGUGUUCUGACAAGACCGAGAAAAGGGUAUUUAAGAGCCCAUGCACUUAUCAUUAGAGCGUUAAAAGAAGCACGCCUGGUGCCGCGGGUCUCCUCCUGUGCUGCCUUCCUUCUAAACGAGUGACAUUGGCUGGCUGAGAGCAUGAGAAUGGAGCCUUUUGAAUAGCAGGAUCCUCAUACUUGGAUAGUAACCAUGGAAGCAGAUGCCUACUCUCUUUGCCCUCCUUACCUCCUUGCUCCCUCAAUGAAAAGAGGGCACGCCUUGCUUUCUUCUUCCUGACCGAACUUGCCUGGCCCUCAAAGGGAGCGAUUGAGCAGGUCACUGGUCUAGACUUGUUUGCAUGGUCCACGGAACAGCCUUGAGGUAACCCUUGCUCCCUGUGCGUCGCACCAGCGCAGACUGCUGGGGGGGACAUCGGAGAUGUGAAUUUGAAAAGGAGCUCCAUCCGAUUUUGCCUUUGUGCCUUUUCCCUCAUCGAUCGGCUGAAUAUCGAACCCUCUGUCUCUGCAUGUGUGAAAUGGAUAGCUUAGUAAGCAUUUUUUUUCUAAUCAAGCUCACGUUGUGGGCCAACUCUCUCAGUUUUUCUCUCUCGUAUUUAGCCACCACUCACACUCGCUCUCGAACCCUCCCUCUCUCUCUCUUCCCUCUUUCUCCAUUUCACUGUUUUCUUUCUCCAUUUCUCUCUCUCUUUUUCUUUUUCUUUUCCUCUUUCUCUUCUUUCUGCUUUCUCUUCCUCUUCUACACUUCUCUACGCUUCUCUCUUUUGAUUAUCUGGGACGUUUAGAUGAGCAUGUUGUGAUUCUUCUUAUCAAUGUCAUUUUUUAAAAUCUGUUAUUGAUCCUGAAGUGAUUUCAGCUUUGUGUUACCCUGGAUUCUGCAUGCUGCUAUACAACUGUUUGCUUUUUCAGUUUCAACUGGGAUGACCACCAACCACAGAGGGACUUUUUAGACCAUUAAAAAAAAAAGGCAAUUGCACUGCCUUUGUUUCCAUUCCUUCUUAAAACAUGCAUGGAUGACAAAUGGAGUUUUUUUUUUUUUUUAACAUUUAAAUAUUUAAUGUGAAAUAAUGAUGACUCAUUAGGUGAGUAUAAUUAUGUUCUCAUAUAUUACAUUUAGUAUUACUGAAUUUUUAAAUCAGCUGAUGUAAAAGAUAAAAUGAAAAAAAAAUCUGCUAUUUAAUGUAUCUAAUUGAAAUAUUUAUGUUGCGUAUGCUGGCAUUAAAGCUGUGAGUCUUUGAACUUAUCUGUGCCUCUCGGCACUUGGACGUGUUGCAAUUAUUGUGGGAUUAUUAGGCUUUCAUUGUGUACAUAUUAUAAUGAAAUUUCUUGAGUGCUGAAUUUUGUUAAACACCACUGAAUUAUUAUUAGAGUUACUAAUGAAUACAAUGUAUUCUUAAAUACAUUGUUUUUAUUAAGAAUUUAGGCUGUGUCUGUUCAGAGACAGAGAAAGACAAGUAUUAAAAAUACGUAAGAUAAUUUUAGUGAUACUAAAUGUCAUUCUUUAAUAAAAAAGAUUCUUAAUAUAUGAUUCUUAAUUAUGUGUUGAAAUUAUGUAUAUAUAGACUUGUGACUAUAUAUGAAAAUUAUAAAGAAGAAUGUGAUAUAAACUCAUCAAUAUAACAUCAUAUAAAUGAUAUAAAUACCAAAAGCAUACUACAUAGCACAAAGAAAAUGAAUCAUAUUUUUCUAAGAAUAUAUGACAACACA